GGAAGGAAGUGUUGGCAUGGGCAGUGCGCACAGCGCAGCGGGGGUGCAGGACAGGGCAGAGUGGGGUGUGGUUGCACAGCAGGAGGAUUCUGUUACAUGUGUCCUCCACCUUCUCAUCUCUACAGUCUCACCUUAAAAUCCAUCUUCAAGAUGAAGCAGCUCAUGUUCUUCAGGAGGUGACACUUGCAGAGACUGUGUUUCGUUGCGUGAAACAUGGCUCAGAGGAGGUAGCUAGGCCUCAGGCCUAUGUCAAAUAUGCAAGGAAACGAAACUCUGUGAUCUCAGAACUGAAGCACCAAAACUAUGAACUACUGAAACAUUUAUUCACCUACAGAAUGACUCAGGCAUGGAUGGGUUCCCUCCUCUGUCUCAGAUCUGGAAUCCAAUCAGAGACCUGCUGCUUGUUCCUCUUGUGGUGAUUAACCAUUCUACAACUAAACACACUUACGUUGACAGCAAAUAAAAACAGAGGCUGGCAGCAGGCAGGCAAAGAAUCUUGACGCUGCAACAAUGAGGACAGUCCAGCCAUCUUGCUCUCUGACCAGAGGAAAACUGAACGUGCCUCCCUUGCACUAAGGUGCUGCUGCCACAGACAGAUUUCAAGCCUUGCCUGUGAGCCUCUCAGCUGCUUGCCUCUGAGUCAGGCACUGCGUGCGUGUGUUAUGGACUCAUGCUUGCCAUUGUAGUGAAUAAACCUUAAGAUCAAACGGUG
rnacentral:lncRNA from 1 species